rnacentral:rRNA from 1 species
GGCGGCGUGCCUAACACAUGCAAGUCGAACGAGAAAGUGGAGCAAUCCAUGAGUAAAGUGGCGCACGGGUGAGUAACACGUGACUAACCUACCCUUGAGUGGGGGAUAACCUAGAGAAAUCUGGGCUAAUACCGCAUAAUACCUCNGGGUCAAAGGAGCAAUUCGCUUAAGGAGGGGGUCGCGGCCGAUUAGUUAGUUGGCGGGGUAAUGGCCCACCAAGACGAUGAUCGGUAUCCGGCCUGAGAGGGCGCACGGACACACUGGAACUGAAACACGGUCCAGACUCCUACGGGAGGCAGCAGUGGGGAAUUUUGCGCAAUGGGGGAAACCCUGACGCAGCAACGCCGCGUGGAGGAUGAAGCCCCUUGGGGCGUAAACUCCUUUCGAUCGGGACGAUAAUGACGGUACCGGAAGAAGAAGCCCCGGCUAACUUCGUGCCAGCAGCCGCGGUAAUACGAAGGGGGCGAGCGUUGUUCGGAAUUAUUGGGCGUAAAGGGUGCGUA